rnacentral:tRNA from 1 species
AAAUUAGAAAUAAAGGUUUAUAUUCAGUUUCGACCUGAAAUUUUAGUUAUUUUAUAACUCUAAUUUA